AGUCUUCCCGCAUGAAAGAUGGCGGAUUCCUCAGAACAGCAGGUAGAGUGAGAGAAAGAAGAAUGUGGACCUGAAGCUGCCACCUAGGAACAGGUCUCAUCCAUCCAGUCUUUCCUGUCUCGUCAUAUCCCACGUUACCUCUUUGUCAUGCUUCCAUCGUGCUGGCCUUCCUACCAUCCUCAAACACAAACAUACUAGCUCACUCCGGCCUACAGCUUUCUCCUGACACAGUCUUUCCCUGCCUUGGGGUAAAGCUACUCCCUUGUGUCACCUAGGCCUCUGCUGCAUGUCAUCUCCCCAGAUAAUCUUUUCUACCACCCCUUUCCUUACUAUGUUACGUCAUCCUAUUGUAUUUCUUUCAUUGUACUUACCACUGUCUGAA